GAUGCAUUAUAUGAAGCAAUUGAAUAAUUCUGAGACUGGAUUAGUUGCAUUUUCAGUUGAAUUUAGUGAAGCAUUGAGAAGCAUUCGAUGUGUUGAGCUUUUUUAAUUGAUUUUGUUUGAUUUGUUCAUUACAAACAGCUGAGAGUUACAACUGUAUGUGUGGAUAAUGUUUUAAUUUGUGGAUUAGUCAUAUGUGAGAAGUUAGGGUAUG